UGCAGAUCUGGUGGAGAAGAAGACGAGCAGAGGCAGCGAUAGGUUUCCGGUUUUGUUUGUUUCCUGCAUGCGCCCACGUGCCGGUUUUUUUGUCUGCGCUUGGAAACGUUUUCAAAGCACGCGCGCGGCUAGACAUAGAUGUCUAGAUCGACCCAAUGCGUGCCGUUUUCACGAACGUCUGAUUUGUUUGUCAGAUACCGUGGGCUCGGCCGGUUGACGCCAGCAGCAUCAGAUUCCAUGAGACCGUUCGUGACCCGAUCCCAUGUAUAUCCCUUUCCUCUUUUUUUCCCCUCCCAUAUCGAAGAAUAGAGAGUAUAAUCAGUAUAUCCCAAUCAUGCUGCAUAAGAAACUAAUGUCGAUAGCACCCUAGAAGCAGCAGCGGCAGGCACACACACACGACUUGGCGGCCGGAGCAAAUCUAAAAGCUGCCACUGGAAACGAACGGCCAGGCGUCGCGCGCACAGUCGCGUCCAUGAAGGAGGAGAAAAAGGAGAUUCACAGCAGCAUCUCCCAUUUAAUUUCAGGGCGCACGCAGCGGUGCGGUACUGCGGUGCCAUCGUGCUUGCUUUUCUUCUCCAAUCCGUGUCAUUCAGGGCUUACUCGUGGACGUGGACGGUCGUUUCCGUUCCCAGCUGCUGCUGCUACCUGCUACUGCUUGAGGUCUGUUUGGGUCACUCACUGAACUAAACUUAUUAGUCACCUAGACCAGUUCAAUGAGUUGAUUGUGUCUCUCAGUAGUCCAAUACAUCCUAACAGCAUGUGACUGAUGAACUUCAGUUAGACUACCAACAAGUUUAACUAGAAGAAGGUUGCAGCAUCUAACUGCACAAAAAAGACAGUAUCUCCUUCGCACAAACAAGCUGGAGGCAGAAUUAGUUUUAUAUAUAUGUAUCAGCAACAUGAUUAAGGAGCACCCUGGCGUGCAAAAGCUCCAGAAAUGAUGGAGGUCUGAAGGAAUAAUCUCCAGUGUCGCUUUUAUGAGGCUGGUGGCCGGCCGCCUGCCUGCCCCCACUGGUCCCGUGUGGAUCUAGCCAGAUCCAUGUAAUGUAAACUCCCUGCACUCCUGUAAAAACAAAAUCGUCGUGAACAUUGCUGUUAUCCAGCAGUACAAAAAAAAGAGAGAGAGAGAGAAAAUGGCAAGAUAAAAAUAAUAAGAGGAAGCUGGACUCAUCCAGCUUGAUGUGAGAUCUCCCUGGUCCUGGAAAAGCAACUUGUUUCUUUCCCCGAAAGCAGAGGCC
rnacentral:lncRNA from 7 species